GACGAACGCUGGCGGCGUGCUUAACACAUGCCAGUCGAACGGAAAGGCCCUGCUUUUGUGGGGUGCUCGAGUGGCGAACGGGUGAGUAACACGUGGGUAACCUGCCCUUGACUUUGGGAUAACUUCAGGAAACUGGGGCUAAUACCGGAUAGGAGCUCCUGCUGCAUGGUGGGGGCUGGAAAGUUUCGGCGGUUGGGGAUGGACUCGCGGCUUAUCAGCUUGUUGGUGGGGUAGUGGCUUACCAAGGCUUUGACGGGUAGCCGGCCUGAGAGGGUGACCGGCCACAUUGGGACUGAGAUACGGCCCAGACUCCUACGGGAGGCAGCAGUGGGGAAUAUUGCACAAUGGGCGGAAGCCUGAUGCAGCAACGCCGCGUGCGGGAUGACGGCCUUCGGGUUGUAAACCGCUUUCGCCUGUGACGAAGCGUGAGUGACGGUAAUGGGUAAAGAAGCACCGGCUAACUACGUG
rnacentral:rRNA from 1 species